rnacentral:rRNA from 1 species
GACGAACGCUGGCGGCGUGCCUAAUACAUGCAAGUCGAGCGAAGUUUUUCUGGUGCUUGCACUAGAAAAACUUAGCGGCGAACGGGUGAGUAACACGUAAAGAACCUGCCUCAUAGACUGGGACAACUAUUGGAAACGAUAGCUAAUACCGGAUAACAGUAUUUCUCGCAUGAGAGAUAUUUAAAAGUUGGUUAUGCUAACACUAUGAGGUGGCUUUGCGGUGCAUUAGCUAGUUGGUGGGGUAAAGGCCCACCAAGGCGACGAUGCAUAGCCGACCUGAGAGGGUGAUCGGCCACACUGGGACUGAGACACGGCCCAGACUCCUACGGGAGGCAGCAGUAGGGAAUCUUCCGCAAUGGGCGAAAGCCUGACGGAGCAACGCCGCGUGAGUGAAGAAGGAUUUCGGUUCGUAAAGCUCUGUUGUUAGGGAAGAAUGGAUAUGUAGUGACUAUACAUAUAAGAGACGGUAC